GCAGGUAACAGUUCAAAUUAAUAACCCAAAUUCCCAAUCAUUACCUAUCACGGUAUCAAAUCUCAGACAUUUUUUGAAGUGUCACAGUGUUUGCUGCAAUACUACAGAAAGAAAUAAGCAUUGAGACAGUUAGGUGUGUAUCUGUUCUUGUUAUGUAUGAGAUGUUGUUAAUCACUCUGUGUAGGCAGUUCAUGACGGUCAUGGGUGGCAUCAUCCAUCAGGUUCAUGUCAACAUGGAUGUUGGAGGAAAUGCCUAUGGGACUCCAAGAGCUCCGCAUGUCAAGGGGCAUUAUUGUCCUAAAAGAGGGCACCGCCAUAAUGGAACAUCACUGCCAUGAAGGUGUGCACAUGGUCUCCAACAAUCUUUAGGGAAUGGUGGACAGGAAGGUCACUUAGAAUGAUAAAUUGGGGUGUUUGCUCCAUUUGUUACUCACUGAAUCGAAGACAUUAUGUCAAGCCGAAUAAACCCACCGAUGCUGGAUAACUUUUAUGCUUUUCUCAUGCUUUCUGUGGCACUGUGGUAAUUAACAGAGUAACCAGUCUCUCCCUCUCUCAUCCCACUGGCUGGGCUUCGUCACAGAGGCCAG
ensembl:lncRNA